rnacentral:rRNA from 1 species
UACGAAGGGGGCUAGCGUUGUUCGGAUUUACUGGGCGGUAAAGCGCGACGUAGGCGGAUCGUUAAGUCGGGGGUGAAAUCCAGAGCUCAACUCUGGAACUGCCUUUGAUACUGGCGACCUAGAGUCCGGAAGAGGUUAGUGGAAUUCCCAGUGUAGAGGUGAAAUGCGUAGAGAUCGGGAAGAACAUCAGUGGCGAAGGCG